UAUUAGACUGAGAAAGGUUCAACGAGGAAGAAGGAGAGACCAGAGGGAGACAGACACGGAGAGACAUAUUGUUUCUUCAUGACAAAACAAUAUGGCAACUUGGCAAAAGCAAAUCUAAAUCAAUAUGAGGUGGGCAUAGGCUCUACACGCAGAUAGAAAAAGGAUGGAAACCGCACGAAGAAAAAAGUGGAAGCAUUAGAACAAACCUUAGCUACAGUAUCACGGUCAACAUGUUGACACUUUCGGUCUUUGUAUUACUCAAAACUUAUCAUCACUGACAAAAUGUAGAUAUUAUCAUCAAAUAGGUAGGGACACGUACCAGGACAGCUAAACGUAUCACAGCAAGGUUGCUUCAUUUUGAAAUCGUUUUAAAGAUAUUAAUAAAUGCUUCCAGAGGUCAGUAAAGGUCAACCAGCCACCUCAUGAUCUUCA